GCCAGUCAGAAGGGUCUUAACUGACUCGACUGAACAGCGAGUGAUGAGAUCGGAUAUGAAUCGUUGUGAUUAAUUUCCGCUCGNCUCGUAGGUCACACUAUCGCAGACUUGCCUGUCGAAUAUCUAGACGCUGUUU
rnacentral:sRNA from 1 species